rnacentral:rRNA from 1 species
AAUCAACGCUGGCGGCGUGCCUCAGACAUGCAAGUCGAACGAUUAAGACUCUCUUCGGAGAGUGUAUAAAGUGGCGCACGGGUGAGUAACACGUAGGUAAUGUACCGAAGGGUGGGAAUAACUUAGGGAAACUUAAGCUAAUACCGCAUAAUGCAGCGGCUCGACAUCGAGACAGUUGUUAAAGGAGCAAUCCGCCUUUUGAGCAGCCUGCGGCAGAUUAGCUAGUUGGUAAGGUAAUGGCUUACCAAGGCUACGAUCUGUAACCGACCUGAGAGGGUGGUCGGUCACACUGACACUGAAUAACGGGUCAGACUCCAACGGGAGGCAGCAGUCGGGAAUUUUGGGCAAUGGGCGAAAGCCUGACCCAGCAACGCCGCGUGAAGGAUGAAGUAUUUCGGUAUGUAAACUUCGUAAGAAUAGGAAGAAUAAAUAGACGGUACCAUUUAUAAGCUCCGGCUAACUACGUGCCAGCAGCCGCGGUAAU